rnacentral:ncRNA from 1 species
AUAUAAACGUUGAAGAAGAAAAGUAAUAUAUAAUUUAAUUAUAGCGAGUCGACGACGGUGCAAGGUUGAUAUUAAUUAUAUACGAACGUACUUUGGAGUUAAUUUUAAAAAAAUUGGUAUUUCUGCCUUAAAGAAUUUGAGUGGAUAUAUUAUUAUAUCAAUAAGAGUGGUAACGCGGAUAUUUCGUCUCUUUA